AAAGAAAGAGAAGAAAAGGGCAACGGGGCUUGAAAAAAAAAGGCAAGACAAAGAGGAGGGUUUGGCGGCUGAGUAGGGGGGGAACCUGGUUGGUGGCCGAAAAGAGAAAAAAGAAAGGAGAGAACCGAGAGGGGAGGACGGCUGGAAAAAACAGAGUAAAAGAAAAACCAAGGGGGUGGCGGAUGAAAAGGAACCGUGGAAAACGAAAAGGAAAAAAAGGAGGUGCUUCAUCGGAGGCUAAAGAAAAAGAAAGAGAAAGAUUGAAAGGAAAAAAUGGGAAGUUUAGCGGCUGAAGGCUGAGGAGAGGCUUCGGCUGAGUGAAGGGAAAAGGACGGAGAGGGAAGCUCAACGAAAACAAAAAACAGAGAAAAGGAAAAGAGGGUGGCGGCUGACGGGCAGAGGAGGAAAAAAGAGCAAAAACGCAAGGGGAAAACAGAGGGGCUGAGAACAAGGAGAAGAAAAAGGAGAGAACCGAGAGGGGGGCUUCGGUGGGGAAAAACAGAGAAGGCCGAGAGAGGUUUGGGCUAAAAAGAACAAAGCAAAGGAAAGACAAGGGGCGGCGGAACAAAGCAGAAAACUAAGAGGAAAAUGGACUGCUAGGGUUAGAGAAAAGGGAGACGCGAAAGUGAAAGGGAGAACUUCGGGGAGUUUCUGAGAGGAAGACAAGAGCAGGAACCAGAACAAGAGGAAGAAAGAAGCUUCGGGCUAGGGAAAAAUCAAAACGGAGGCAGAGGAGAGUAAGAACCAGAAUCACCACUGCCGUCGACCACCGCCAGCGCCGCCACUUCACCGAAUCCACCAUCAUCACCGGCCAAUUUUCAUCAAGCAAGAGCACGUCGAUCUCAAGGACACCGCCAUCCCCGACUGCCUCCAGUCCUGCUGCCAGAAGAGCACCGCCGCUAGCAGUCCACCAUAAAUGCUAUUCAUACUAGCUUUUGGAAGAUAUCUAUGGUUAUGGUUGAAGAAUGUUGAAGACAAAAUUGCCUUUUGCUCAUGGAGUGGUUCAUUUAGAUGUUCUUCAAUUUCUUAAACUGUGAUUGCUUUUGUAAAUGUACCUUAUGUACAAGUGAUAUUUUGGACAAAUGUUAUUUUUGUAGGCAUUAGUUGGGCAAUGUACACUUGAAUUUGGCAUUUGAGAAUGCUAUAUUAUUACCAUGUAAUCUAAUGCAAAUACUUUUGGUU